rnacentral:rRNA from 1 species
UACGUAGGGGGCUAGCGUUGUCCGGAAUCAUUGGGCGUAAAGCGCGUGUAGGCGGCCCGGUAAGUCCGCUGUGAAAGUCGGGGGCUCAACCCUCGGAAGCCGGUGGAUACUGUCGGGCUCGAGUACGGAAGAGGCGAGUGGAAUUCCUGGUGUAGCGGUGAAAUGCGCAGAUAUCAGGAGGAACACCGGUGGCGAAGGCGGGUCUCUGGGCAGUAACUGACGCUGAGGAGCGAAAGCGUGGGGAGCGAACAGG